ensembl:lncRNA
GUGAGUGUUGUGGAAGAAAACGUUUGGGAUAAGAGUACUGGGUCAGUAAGCUGGGUCAAAUUUCUGAGCUGUGCAGUGGAGCUGGGGAGACAUGCUCAGGUGGAGUCCCUCCAGGAUCUCCACCUCUUCCUACCAGUAGUACAAGACACUCAAAGAGCACAAGCACUACAGGGAGUGGAGGUGAAAGCAGGCAGUGGAUGGUUUUCUCCACUCUCUGCAGUAAUAAGCUGUGGUCCAGCAGACCAGCCAGUGUCUAGCCUGGAUGUUCUCCUGAGGUGAGUGGCUACCUGCUUAGGGACUGCAGUGAAUUCCCACAGCUGUUCGUACUGCCAGUGAAAACCAAUGCCAAAGGAUGUUAUGAAGUCAUUGCUGGUACUGAUCCACAGCUGAGGACAAUUUGAGCUCACCAAUGGGCACUUGUAAUAUGCAGGAUGCAGGAUGAAUGGAGAUGGUCUGUAGGAACUCAUUUCUGCCUUGAGAGAGCAGCUCGGAGACUGAUGAUGAUACUGUGUUUACCAGGGUACCUGCCUACUUUCACCUGGUUGGAGUUACCGUAGUGAGGA